GAGUUUGAUCCUGGCUCAGAUUGAACCCUGGCGGAAUGCUUUACACAUGCAAGUCGAGCGGCGGCGCGGCCUUCGGGCUGGCGGCGAGCGGCGAACGGGUGAGUAAUGCAUCGGAACAUGCCCAGUCGUGGGGGAUAACACUUCGAAAGAAGUGCUAAUACCGCAUACGUCCUGAGGGGGAAAGCGGGGGAUCGCAAGACCUCGCGCGAUUGGAGUGGCCGAUGUCAGAUUAGCUAGUUGGUGGGGUAAAGGCCUACCAAGGCGACGAUCUGUAGCUGGUCUGAGAGGAUGAUCAGCCACACUGGGACUGAGACACGGCCCAGACUCCUACGGGAGGCAGCAGUGGGGAAUUUUGGACAAUGGGGGCAACCCUGAUCCAGCCAUUCCGCGUGAGUGAAGAAGGCCUUCGGGUUGUAAAGCUCUUUCGGCAGGAACGAAACGGUGGGCUCUAACAUAGUCCGCUAAUGACGGUACCUGAAGAAGAAGCACCGGCUAACUACGUGCCAGCAGCCGCGGUAAUACGUAGGGUGCGAGCGUUAAUCGGAAUUACUGGGCGUAAAGCGUGCGCAGGCGGUUGUGUAAGACAGGUGUGAAAUCCCCGGGCUUAACCUGGGAACUGCGCUUGUGACUGCACGGCUAGAGUAUGGCAGAGGGGGGUGGAAUUCCACGUGUAGCAGUGAAAUGCGUAGAGAUGUGGAGGAACACCGAUGGCGAA
rnacentral:rRNA from 1 species